rnacentral:lncRNA from 1 species
UAACACUUGUUGCAAAAAUAUUUUCCAAGUGUUAUAUUUCUGGAAAAAUUUCGCCAGAGUUUCCUCUGUAACUGGAGGUGGCCACGCUUACUAGCGUAUCAUUUUCUUUUAACAACUCAAUCAAUAAAUUUUCAGUCACCAAUAUUCAAUAUCAAAACAUCAAACUAGUAAAAAAUAUGCAUAAAUUGCAAACACAUGAACUUGUAAGUUGUGUAAAAGUAUGUAGUAACUUUCCAAUAUUUUUAGUAGAUCUUUCUAUUUCUAAAAAUAAAAUCGGUUUCUUGGAAAUCUUAUCUUUAAAGAAAAUGUAACUUUACAACUUCUUAGUCAUAAAUUACGAAAAUAUUUCUUUGUUAAAACCUUUUGUCCCACAAGUGUUUACACACUUGUUUGUUCACAAAAAUGCUUUUAUUUCAUGAAAGAUCCGGCUUUUAAACGUGAUUGCAUCUUACACUUGGUUCUUCGAAAAUACCACUUGUAGAUCUUUAGAUCUACUAGUUUAGAACUCCAUUUUACAAGAAAAAUCACUUUUACACAAGUUCAUGUUCAUAAAUAGUAGAGUUCAUUAUCUUACCAUUUUUACACUUAAUAUAACACUAGUUCAUGUUCCAUGAACAUGAUCUAGCAUGAUUAGAUGACGAUCCGUUCUACUACUAGCAUCAAAUAACAUAAAAUAAUCAUAGCUAGACAAGUUUCAUAAGUUUUACACCACUAUUUACUCUUUAACCAUCAAGUUUAUCAUUCUUAUAAGACUUUUAGUCUUUGAUCUUUAGUGUUCUCGAUUUUUAUCCGUUAAAUCUCUUAUUAACCACCUUAGAUAAGAUCAAGAGGGUGUUUAGAAUCACUUACAACUAGCUCAAGGCUAGGGAAGAAUCAAAGCGAAAACUAGGUGGAUAAAAGCGAUGUAGAGAGGUCCUUGUGAUUCCGUAAGCACCGGGUCUCCUCGUAUGAACUCUAGCACACUUGUAUGUAUGAAAUUUGCUUGAACAAAAUUUGAAGGAUGGUGAGGUGAUGGUUGUGGUGUUCGGCCGAUCCAAAGGAGAGGAGAGGGAGAGUAGUUUUUUUUGUUAAGUGUUGGAGUGAAUGAUAAUGUGAUUACCUCCUAAACCUUCUUAUAAACCAUCCAUUCCCUUUACCCAUUAUACAAAGUGUCCCCAUGAUAUUAGACAAGCAAGAUUAAAAUAAUCAAAAUUGGGUGUGUGUGUUCCCUAGGGGAACCGAUCGGAUCAUGGGGGGGGGGGGGGUAAUAUGGUUGGAUUUGGACUAACUAGUUAGGUGAUAUUUAGUUUAGUUAGGUGAUUGAUUUAGUUAUUAGUGUGUAGUGUUUUGUAACGGGCGUUAGGGUGUUCGGGAACCCUAACUAGCUUAGAAAAGGAAAAACAAUGUCAUUGUCAAUAUUUUUCUGUUCCGGGUAAAGCCCGGUUGUUCGGUUGGAUACUGAUCCGUUAAAGUGCUUAAUAAGCAUUUAAAGUGUCUUUAAUAUUAUUUUUAGUGACACAAUAAAUUCCCGAUACUUUGAAAAGUGUCUAGUAUUAUUUUCCCAUGUUUUUGUGCCCUUUACUAGUUAGCUUAAAUGCUGAAUUUUGUAUUAAAGUGCAGAAUUUUGUGUUUAAAACAUGUUUUAGGCACAUCCGGUCACUAUAACUAAUACCUAGUGACGCAGUUCUGCAAUCCUCACCUCUCUACACUCCCUACUAGUGUAGUGAUCUAUUCCCGGCUCAUACUGGCUUUAGAGACAGCAUCUGUCUGGUGCUGGCUAUGUCAGCACGUUUACUGGUUCUGUGUAAAUAAAUGGAGUGACAGCAAUAAGGUAUGAUGCAAGUAUAUGUAUGUAUCAGAAAUCACGUAGCAGUUUAACCACAAUUGGAAGCAAGCAAAGUAAUUAAGCAUUAAUUAAAUAUUAAUUAAUUCGUACGGAUACCUGGUUUGGUGAGGGUUGUCACAACAUGGCACAUUUCAUGUGUCGCAAUUACGGAAAUGUCUAGCGGAGGAAACAGCUUAUAUCCACUACGACGAUAUCGAGUUGGAUGAUAGUCUGAAUUAUGCGGUAAGGCCAUUGGAGAUUUUAGAUCGAAAAGUUAAGCACUUGCGAAACAAACAAAUCGAUCAAGUCAAGAUCAAGUGGGAGCAUAGGAAGGGUUCGGACACUACGUGGGAGUCCGAAGAGGAGAUGCGACGUCUCUACCCUACACUAUUCAGUACGUACUCUGGUUUCAGGGACGAAACUCUUUUUAAGGGGGGUGGACUUGUAACAUCCCAAAAAUACAAGUUCUUAAAUUACAAUUAUGUUGUGAAUAAAUAAGAAAAAUAAACUAACUAGGAAUGACAUUAACCUAGUUAGAUGUUGAGUUAUGAGUAGUUAAAAAGU